UGACUAAUGAGGAUCAGGUGUUGUUGUUGAUCAGAUUUUUGCUCACCGACAUCAAGAAGUAGUCUGAGAUGCACCCAUGAUAGCUGAAUUAAGACGAGGUGGCCAGCAUUUUCAAUGUGCGUGAGCUGUGUGCGGAAUUCAAGGGAUCACUGGAUGGAUGCUCCAUCUGCAAACCUGAUGAAGGCAUUUAGUACCUAUGACUGAGGAUUCUGGCAUUGAUGUCUGCCACGAAUGUGCUCUCCUCUCAAGGGACUGUGCCUAUACGAAUGAAGACCCUUAGAGCGUCGUGAAGGAAUACAUGCCAGGUGUUCGUAGUCACACGGCCACAGCAGAGACCAUAUAUGGCAUCAGAUGGUCGUUGUCGCCCCCCCCCAGAGGACAUUUGGAUCGUU